UACAGAGGUGGCAAGCGUUGUUCGGAAUUACUGGGCGUAAAGGGCGCGUAGGUGGCCAUCUAAGUCAGACGUGAAAUCCCCCGGCUUAACCUGGGAACUGCGUCUGAUACUGGACGGCUAGAGUUUGGGAGAGGGAUGCAGAAUUCCAGGUGUAGCGGUGAAAUGCGUAGAUAUCUGGAGGAAUACCGGUGGCGAAGGCGGCAUCCUGGACCAACACUGACACUGAAUCGCGAAAGCUAGGGGAGCAAACGGG
rnacentral:rRNA from 1 species